UGAUCUUCAUGUCCCGUUCGUGUGCUCCGGUAUCCCUGAUUGAACCUGUGUGUACCGACCUUCGUCCGUUCUACGACCAACCCCUCAGGCAACUCGGGAUGACUUCGAUCCAGAAGAAAUUCAACAGCAUAAGAAUCCCAGACAUGUCUGGAUCACUGGAUCAGUGUCCGUCAUUGGCAAGGUCAAGUACAGCUUGGCAAAUAUCCAGUGUCUGUGGGGUUACCUUAUUCUGCUGUGGAUCUGGUGCCUGAGACCAGUGUCAGGCUAUUAGUAACGACUACAUCAGUAUCAAGAAAAAUUGGAGGGCUAAAUUCAGCAGAUUGUGAGUGAGACAUGCACACAAAAUACCUUCUUCCUAACUUAGUCCAUAUUUACAACAAUUUAGAUUUUUAUUGUUCCCAUGUAAGUUUGUUGUUGCGAACGUGGCCUUUCACUGACUGUGACAAGAAAGCCAAUUGUGAUUCUGAUGUCUCUUAACAGGAGGGACGGUGGUUUUUUUUAUUUUAUUACGGUGCUUUUAUUUAAGCUGGCUAUACAAUCUUUUCAUAAACGUCAUCAGUAAGGUAAAGUGCUGCAGAAAAAGGUGAGCACUUAUUAUGCACUCUUGACUGUUUCCCUUGCAUGCUGGUUUUAUCAUGUAUCAAAUUCUACCAGAAGGAAUCUUAGUAGUUAGUGUGCUUACCUAACUAGUAAAAAAAAAAAAAGUAUAGUUCUGUAUGCUGAUAAAGUGCACAAAGUACCAGUCUAACAAAAGUUUAUAGUGUUGCGAAAUGACGGACAAUUUCUGGUAAAUUUCCCUGGAAGAAUGCCAGGCAUGUUGAGAUGAGAUUUGAAAAACUGUAAAAUGUGUGAAUUGGAACUGUAAACGAGAUGUAUCAUUCAGAAACACAGCAUUGGUUUUGUUAGAAAUUUAUAAUAGACAUGCACAGAACAUCUGCUUCCUCAAUCUUUCAUCCCCUUUUGUGUAGUCGAUUUAUGAAUGAAACAGAGUUGACUGGAUGUACUCUGGGUUGAGGUGCUGUAGUAAUCUUAGAACGUUGUGUGUGUGCGUGUGUGUGUGUGUGUGCGUGUGUGUGUGUGUGUGUGCGCGUGUGCGUGUGCAUAGGAUAGGAUUUGGUUCGAUUACCUGUUACAGUCUAAUCUGUUAAACUCAUUCAUGUCAAUGUCCACAGUUAAUUUCCAUUAAACAAGGAGCCAAAUGUUUCACUGUCCCAGAUUAAGAAAAAAAUGAUGAACUUGUUUUAUUUCCAGUAUAAAUCUACUGAGGUUCACCACAAUAGAAUGAACUCAAAUGUCAGAUUUUAAAUUGAAUCCAUUAUUACAGUACUGCAUACCGAACAGCAUUGCACCAUAAUUUUUACCGCACUAUAUUACUACAAAUGUACACUUGAAAUUCAUAUUUAAUAUAAUGAGUUCAGGUACAGAAAUUUGGGAUUACUUUAUGUAGCAAGAGAGCAGGUGUCAAUUCUGAGGUUGAACCUUGUUUAGGUGUCAGUGAGGAGAGGGAUUAAAUGACUUGUAAUCACAAAUAUUGCCUUCAGAAAUUGUCACUUUUUUUUUUUUAGCAUAACACGUGCUAAAUUUCAAGAACUUUAUGAAACUAGUAAGCACAGUGUACAAAAGGGUGUCUUACUAAACCUUAAAAAACAAGAUUGACUAUACUGCCCACAUCUAUUUUAUAUGGGCAGCACUCAGAAGGCAUCCUUUCAACAACCUCAAAAUUGAUUGACACCGCUAACUCUGCAGCUCCGCCGGAGCCCUGAGCUUGUCCAGUCCUGAUGAUAUGAGCUCUCAACUCUCCAAUCAAGCUCAACACCUGAACAUUUGAAGUUUUCAUCCCCCAGAUGACGGGACCGAAAUCUCAUCAUACUACUAAUAUUGCUGUGUGUGGAAAAAAAAAAUCACAUGUAUUUACUGUGCCCUUUGUAGAUGACGAGUGUCACUGCCCCAUUUGUUUGUCAAUGGUAUGAGGCGAGCUGGAGCGGUCACUCUGAAUAAAAUGGAUCUGACCCUGGAGACAAGUUAUGUGGGAUACUUUCAGGUAAGAGUUGGAUUCAGAGACAAAUUACAGCUUUUAUAGUUCAUAGCGAUGAAAGGAACUGACCUGCACUACAUUUACAGGUCAGAUAUCUUGACAUCCUGAACAAAUUCCUGAAAGUUGUUGUUAUACCCAUAUUUGAAUGGUAAUUUUUUUUAACACUUUGGCCUGUGUUCCACCAUGUUGCCUUUUUCUACAUUUGUGUUUCUGACAUUUUUGACAAAAUAGGUCUUCAUAUUAUUAUGUAAUGAAAUUACAUACAGGUCAACUGCCAAAUCUUUAACAUGUUUAGAUCGUGUUCUGUAUUUGGAUCUAUAUUGUCUUGUCAGCUAAUCUAAAUGUAUGGAUUCCUCCAUCGUUCAACUUGGGAAAGGAUAUCCUCUCCCUUCCCUUGGAAAGAUGAACCCCGUCAACACUGACCUUCGGAUCCUUAAGGACUAUGUGCUGAUUGGGACAGAUGUUGAGUUUACAGCGUGAUGGAAGUAAAAUAACUGAGCGACAACACAUCUCCAGCCUUAAUUUCAAACAUAGUAUUGCUCAAAAUGAAGUUUUUGUCAAAUCAAUUACUGCAUGUUUCCCUUUCCUUGCAAAUAAAAAUGAGGAAUGUCAU